rnacentral:rRNA from 1 species
AUAUUAAACUUGUUGCAGUUAAAAAGCUCGUAGUUGAAUUUUUGCGUCACCGUGUAUCGACAUUUGUCGUUUAUCGGUUUCGCUUUUGGGAUUUAUCCCUUUUUACUUUGAGAAAAUUAGAGUGUUUCAAGCAGACUUUUGUCUUGAAUACUUCAGCAUGGAAUAAUAGAGUAGGACUUUGGUUCUAUUUUGUUGGUUUGUGAACCUUAGUAAUGGUUAAUAGGAACGGUUGGGGGCAUUCGUAUUUAACUGUCAGAGGUGAAAUUCUUAGAUUUGUUAAAGACGAACUACUGCGAAAGCAUUUGCCAAGGACGUUUUCAUUAAUCAAGAACGAAAGUUAGGGGAUCGAAGACGAUCAGAUACCGUCGUAGUCCUAACCAUAAACUA